ACGCUAUCACUCCUACGGUAGGCAGCAGUGAGGAAUAUUGGUCAAUGGACGGGAACUCUGAACCAGGCCAUCCCGCGUGUAGGAAGACGGCCUUAUGGGUUGUAAACUACUUUUAUACAGGAAGAAACGUACCCUCGUGAGGUGCUGACGGUACUGUAGGAAUAAGCACCGGCUAACUCCGUGCCAGCAGCCGCGGUAAUACGGAGGGUGCGAGCGUUAUCCGGAUUUAUUGGGUUUAAAGGGUCCGUAGGCGGGUUAAUAAGUCAGUGGUGAAAUCCCAUCGCUUAACGAUGGAACUGCCAUUGAUACUGUUAGUCUUGAAUGAGGGUGCAGUGGUUGGAAUGUGUAGUGUAGCGGUGAAAUGCAUAGAUAUUACACAGAACACCGAUUGCGAAGGCAGAUCACUAACCCUAAAUUGACGCUGAGGGACGAAAGCGUGGGGAGCGAACAGGAUUAGAUACCCUGGUAG
rnacentral:rRNA from 1 species